UCAUAAGAUCAGUGCCUAGCAUAACUGUUCUUUGAGAGGUUUCACCCUGCAAGUGAUGAAAACAGAUGCAGAAAGCCACAGCCAACCAAACAUUAUGCAGAUCUGGGAAAAUCCUGUAGAAGAGAGGGAAGAAGGACGGUAGAAGCCAGAGUAGUUAAGGACAACACAAGAAAACCAAUAGAAUCAACUACCUUGAACCCAUAGGGGCUCACAGAGACUGAUCUGCCAACCAGGGAUCCUGCAUGGGAGUGACCGAGAACCUCUGUACAUAUGUUACAUUGUGUAGCAUGAUCUUCCUGUGGGACACCUAACAGUGGGGGUAAAGCUAUCUCUGACUCUGUUGCCUGACUUUGGAACCCUUUUCUCCUACUAGGUUGCCUUGUCUAGCCUUACUAGAAGAGGAGGUGCCCAGUCUUACUGCAACUUGGCCUUAUGCCAGUGGUCCUGACUGGAACAGCCAUGCCAUGUGCAGAAGACAGCAUUUCAAAGCACUCCUUUCCAUGUUCCUAAACUCAAAAUCUGUCCACUCUUUCUUUCAUGAUGUUCCUCGGUUUGGAGCGGCAAUCUGAUGUCCUCUUUAGGGCUGAGAGCUCAAGUCACUUGCUUUCAGCACAUCAACCAGGUAUGAGUCUCAACAUAUACCAUCUUCCAAUAUACAAAUAUAUAUAUAUAUUUUUAAAAAAAGAACUUUCUCUGGUCCAGGUUAAAAGCAGCAAUAAUCCAUGAAUAUAA
rnacentral:lncRNA from 1 species